UGUUUAAAAAUUCAUCCAUUCUAUUGUUAAAAAUUGGUGUGGCUAACAAAACAACUAAACAAUUAUAUGUAGCGUGCCAUAUAUACCUCACGCUAAUAUUUAAGGACCAAUUUUUAACAGUAAAAAUGGAUAAAUUUUUAACA
rfam:Gossypium arboreum cultivar AKA8401 contig_18587_1, whole genome shotgun sequence.